AAAANCCGUCGACUUUAAAAAUCGUGAGGGUUCAAGUCCCUCUAUCCC
rnacentral:tRNA from 1 species